rnacentral:misc_RNA from 1 species
CCGUAGAUCUUCUGCAAUUUUUUGACCCAGAGAAUGCAAAGUUAUGGCCACAACUUAAAUUAAUAUAAUCUUGCCAAUCUCUUCCAUAAAACACAAGCCCAAUACCACUUGAUAGCUCAAGUUUUCUGAUCAAGAUUAAUAGCAUAAAAUUCAAGAAUUUUGAAUCAUAAGUUUAACAAGUGUUUGCUACUUAGUACUUACUGCUUAGCUUGCAAGUUAAAACAAAAAAGUGGGAAAAAAAAUUCACAGUUUUAUGAUUUCUGGUCAGUCAUUAUCAAAUUCAUAAAAAGCAGGUGAGUUAUCUCUAUAUCUACGAGAGGUCAAUUCAGAUCAAGUAAAACAGCAAACAUGUAAUCUAAGGAUGUGAAAUUAUUAAAAAAAGGUACAGAAUGGCAGACAAAACUAGUGUAUCAUAAAAGAUUUUUCAAAAUCAAAUUACAAAUAUGCUUAAAAUCCCAAUGGAGCUUCAAAAACAUAACUACAAGAAGCAUAAUAGCAUACCUGUAUCAUCUCUUCACGUGGACUAAAAGAGAUACCUUAUUCGAAGCCAUUCCUUUGA